rnacentral:rRNA from 1 species
AUUGAACGCUGGCGGCGUGCCUAAUACAUGCAAGUCGAGCGAAGCGGGGACGGGUGAGUACCACGUGGAUAACCUCCUAUAAGACUGGGAUAACUUCGGGAAACCGGAGCUAAACCGGCUGCUUAUAGAUGGCUCCGCGCUGCAGUAGCUAGGUGGUAAGGUAACGGCUUACCAAGGCCACGGUGCAUAGCCGACCUGCGAGGGUGAUCGGCCACACUGGAACUGAGACACGGUCCAGACUCCGACGGGAGGCAGCAGGAGGGAAUCUUCCGAAAUGGGCGAAAGCCUGACGGAGCAACGCCGCGUGAGUGAUGAAGGUCUUCGGGUCGUAAAACUCUGUUAUUAGGGAAGCGGUACCUAAUCAAAAAGCCACGGCUAACUACGUGCCAGCAGCCGCGGUAAUUC